ACUCCUACGGGAGGCAGCAGUGGGGAAUCUUAGACAAUGGGGGCAACCCUGAUCUAGCCAUGCCGCGUGAGUGAUGAAGGCCCUAGGGUUGUAAAGCUCUUUCAGCUGGGAAGAUAAUGACGGUACCAGCAGAAGAAGCCCCGGCUAACUCCGUGCCAGCAGCCGCGGUAAUACGGAGGGGCUAGCGUUGUUCGGAAUUACUGGGCGUAAAGCGCACGUAGGCGGAUUGGAAAGUUAGAGGUGAAAUCCCAGGGCUCAACCUUGGAACUGCCUUUAAAACUCCCAGUCUUGAGUUCGAGAGAGGUGAGUGGAAUUCCGAGUGUAGAGGUGAAAUUCGUAGAUAUUCGGAGGAACACCAGUGGCGAAGGCGGCUCACUGGCUCGAUACUGACGCUGAGGUGCGAAAGCGUGGGGAGCAAACAGGAUUAGAUAUCCUGGUAGGAUAGCG
rnacentral:rRNA from 1 species